GCUAAGAGCAGCAGAGGCAGGAUACUGAUCACAUUCAUGGCGCCGAUGGGCAACAUGACGUUGUUGAGUGACCUGCCUGUGUGAUGCAGGCUCUGUAAAGCAGCUGAAGGCCAUAAAGAGGGAAGAGCUUGGCCAGGACUUUAACGUUUUCUACAUGUGUUUCGCUGUAUCGGCCGCCGUUGUUCUCCUUGGCCCGGUCCAGCCAAGAUCCCACAUCUCCACUCAGGUGACGAUAGUGGAGGCAGCACAUCUUGAGAGAGUUCAUGAAUACUCCCAGUGUGGUUAAUAAUGAGCCACCUGCAGUACGCCAGAGACACAAAGGAACAGAAUGAAGUAUGAUUUAAGUUAAUGUGCAUAUACAGUAUAUUUACUUAAAGGUC